AUAAAAAAAAGGAUAAAAAAGGGGGGAAAAAACUAUUGCUUCGAUAUUUAAGGAGACGAACCGUUUCAUUCUCCCUAGUUCUGACUCUUUUUGUCUUUGGUUUUGGAGAUGGAAAUAUUGGAGCUAUUGAGAUGGGAUUUUGCUUAUUCUCUUGAACUGUAAUGGUCCGCUACAGUAUAAGACGUGCUUCUGCAGUUGUUUGUUCUGCUGAGUUGCAGUUUGUCCUACAUAUAUCAGUCAAGACUGUGUUAAUUUCUCAGGCUAUUCAGAGAAGGUUCAAUUCAAAGAUUCAUUGCAAAAAAAAAGCACAUGCUCGUGAUAUUACAAAGCUUAAUCAAAAACAACAUUAAAAAGAACUACUACUACAUAUGUUACAGUUAUAACUGAUACUAAAAUACUGCUUGGGACUCAUUCUUUGUUAUAAGUUGGAAAGCUCGGCAAUUGAAUCAUUAUCGUUGAUGCUCUGGAUCUGAAUUGUCAAGUAUCUUAACAAUGUCAAGUUUUCUGUCAAGUUUUCUCAGCAGUACCUACUAAAUAAGUCAUGAAGAGAGCAAAAGAAAAAGUUGUGCUCUGGAUCUGAAUUGUCAAGUAUCUCAACAUUGUCAAGUUUUCUCAGCAGAGCAAAAGAAAAGUUGCGCCCUGGAUCUGAGUUGAGUAUCUCAACAUUGUCAAGUUUUCUCAGCAGGUUCUAUUUCUGAUACUCUUUUCUUUGUUUUUUCAUCUUGAUUAGUGGUUUUUUUUUUGCGAUAGUACCUAGUAAAUAAGUCAUGAACAGAGCAAAAGAAAAAGUUGUGCUCUGGAUCUGAAUUGUCACGUAUCUCAACAUUGUCAAGUUUUCUCAGCAGGUUCUACUUCUGAUACUCUUUCUUUGUUUUUUCAUCUUGAUUAGUGGUUUUUUUUUUUUUGCGAAAUCCUUGCAUGUUAGUAACUACUAAAUAAGUCAUGAACAGAGCAAAAGAAAAGUUGCGCCCUGGAUCUGAGUUGUUAAGUAUCUCAACAUUGUCAAGUUUUCUCAGCAGAGCAAAAGAAAAAGUUGUGCUCUGGAUCUGAAUUGUCACGUAUCUCAACAUUGUCAAGUUUUCUCAGCAGGUAGCUCUAGUCACAAGAAGCCGCCGCAAAGUUGAAUUGUAUUCUACAGGAAAAGAAGAUUGAUGAACUUUUGAGUGGUAACGAAGACAAUGGCUGAUUUUUACAGGGUCACGUCCAAGGCUGCCCGGCGACGAUGAUAACCACCACGCAAUUACAACACAAGGUCAAGUUCCAGGUCCAGAUGCAGCUAUGGUGAUAGCUGUUUGGAACUCUCUCGGAAUCAAAUAGAGGUCCACCUAAUAGCCGGCGCUCUAAAAGUUGAUGAAUGUCAGAAACUAAAUGGGAAGGAUAAGGGUGUGAUGUAGUGGGUAUUCUACUUUUGAGGACCAUUACAUCAUGACCAAAUGGUUAAAAUGAGAAUCUAUGAGAUCUUGAGCAAGUAGUAGCAUCUGAACUAUAUGUACCGUCAUUUUAUUACACGGAUAAAAGAUUUAAGAUGCAUCUACGUCUUCUUCUUUGCGUGGAUUUCAAAAUUAAGGCACUUGUAUUUGCUUUUUCA